UUUGCAGGGAUCACUCCCUUCUUUAAUCAUGUUUCUCCCUGAAUUCUUUCUCCAGAACUCCAUGACAUCGAUAUGGUCAAAUGAGCCUGGGGAAGUUUUCUGCAACUUUAGAAGCCAAAUAUGGUUAACAAAGAAUUUUACAUUACAAAGGAAGAAAGAGAAAGCAAGCAAGCAAGCAAGAAGGGUGGGAAUGAGAAGCUGAGAGCAGUGUGCCAACUCGCAAUGCCAUCUUCGCUGACAUGUAAAAAUAGUUGUGUUUUAACAAGUGUCCUUUGCUUAAAU
rnacentral:lncRNA from 1 species